rnacentral:rRNA from 1 species
UAGAGUUUGAUCAUGGCUCAGAAUCAACGCUGGCGGCGCGCUUAACACAUGCAAGUCGAACGAGAAAGGGAGCAAUCCUGAGUAAAGUGGCGUACUGGUGAGUAACACGUGGAUAUCUACCUCUUGGUGGGGGAUAACCUGGGGAAACCUGGGCUAAUACCGCAUAAGUUCGUGAGAAGAAAGGCGCAAGUCGCCGAGAGAGGAGUCCGCGGUCGAUUAGGUAGUUGGCGGGGUAAAAGCCCACCAAGCCGAAGAUCGAUAGCCGGCCUGAGAGGGCACACGGCCACACUGGCACUGAAACACGGGCCAGACUCCUACGGGAGGCAGCAGUGGGGAAUCUUGCACAAUGGGGGAAACCCUGAUGCAGCGACGCCGCGUGAGCGAUGAAGCCCUUCGGGGUGUAAAGCUCUUUCGGCAGGAACGAUAAUGACGGUACCUGCAGAAGAAGCUGCGGCUAACUACGUGCCAGCAGCCGCGGUAAU